rnacentral:rRNA from 1 species
AAUCAACGCUGGCGGCGUGCCUAACACAUGCAAGUCGAGCGAGAAAAGGGGGGCAACUCCCUGAGUAAAGCGGCGCACGGGUGAGUAACACGUGGGUAAUCUGCCCUGGAGUGGGGAAUAACACCGGGAAACCGGUGCUCAUACCGCAUACGAUAGCGAGGUCUUCGGACUUUGUUAUGAAAGGAGCAAUCCGCUCCAGGGGGAGCCCGCGGCUGAUUAGCUAGUUGGUGAGGUAACGGCUCACCAAGGCUACGAUCAGUGUCCGGUCUGGGAGGACGGUCGGACACACUGGAACUGAGACACGGUCCAGACUCCUACGGGAGGCAGCAGUGGGGAAUUUUUGGCAAUGGGGGCAACCCUGACCAAGCAACGCCGCGUGGGUGAUGGAGUCUCUUGGGACGUAAAACCCUUUCGACAGGGACGAAAGCCGCAAGGUUUGACGGUACCUGUAGAAGAAGCCCCGGCUAACUCCGUGCCAGCAGCCGCCGUAAUAC